CUUCAUCCACUUGCUGCGGGCAAAUUAGAUGAAUAUGCGUGUCGAAGCCACCGGCCGUGAUGAUCUUAUUCUCGCCGGCAAUCACAUCUGUAGACGAUCCCACCACCAGGUCCGGGUGAACUCCGUCCAUGACAUCCGGGUUACCAGCCUUGCCGAUACCAGCAAUCAAACCAUUCUUAAUACCAAUAUCCGCCUUGUAGAUACCCGUAUAGUCGAUAAUCAAAGCGUUGGUAAUCACCGUAUCCACACACUCAGCCGCCGAACGUCCAGAAGCCUGUCCCAUUCCCUCGCGCAG
rnacentral:sRNA from 1 species